UACGCACACUAGGGGUGUGAAAGCUGAGAUGAGGUGUCACCUCAAACCCUUUGAACCUGAACUAGAUGAUACUAGCGUAGGAAAGUGUUUUGUUAUGAUA
rnacentral:ncRNA from 1 species